AUCUUCUCGUCUAGUUCUCCGAGGUUGAAGGCUUGGCCUGCUCAGAGAAGGAAACUGAGGUCCACCGAGUUGGAGAAACCCACUCAACACCAGGACUAACUUCUUCAGUGCUUAGAGUGUGAGAAAAAUGGCAAAUAUGAAUAGUGAUUCUAGGCAUCUUGGCACCUCUGAGGUAGAUCAUGAAAGAGAUCCUGGACCUAUGAAUAUCCAGUUUGAGCCAUCGGAUCUAAGAUCCAAAAGGCCUUUCUGUAUAGAGCCUACAAACAUCGUGAAUGUGAAUCAUGUCAUUCAGAGGGUUAGUGACCAUGCCUCUGCCAUGAACAAGAGAAUUCAUUACUACAGCCGGCUCACCACUCCUGCAGACAAGGCACUGAUUGCCCCAGACCAUGUAGUUCCAGCUCCAGAAGAGUGCUAUGUGUAUAGUCCAUUGGGCUCUGCUUAUAAACUUCAAAGUUACACUGAAGGAUACGGUAAAAACACCAGUUUAGUAACCAUUUUUAUGAUUUGGAAUACCAUGAUGGGAACAUCUAUACUAAGCAUUCCUUGGGGCAUAAAACAGGCUGGAUUUACUACUGGAAUGUGUGUCAUCAUACUGAUGGGCCUUUUAACACUUUAUUGCUGCUACAGAGUAGUGAAAUCACGGACUAUGAUGUGUAAGAAUUUGACACAGUGACAAUAGAUUAUGGGUAUUAAUAAGCAUUUCCCUUUGAGGCAGAUCACUAGUGUGUAUAUGCCACAUGUGUGUCAGCUGUCUACUUUG
rnacentral:sRNA from 1 species